rnacentral:rRNA from 1 species
GACGAACGCUGGCGGCGUGCCUAACACAUGCAAGUCGAGCGGAAAGGCCCUGCUCUUGUGUGGUGCUCGAGUGGCGAAGGGGUGUGUAACACGCGUGUAACCUGUCCUUGACUGUGGGAGAACUUCAGGAAACUGGGGCUAAUACCGGAUAGGAUCUCCUGCUGCACGGUGGGGGUAGGAAAGUUUCGGCGGUGGGGGAUGGACUAGCGGCUUAUCGGCUUGUUGGUGGGGUAGUGGCUUACCCAGGCUUUGACGGGUAGCCGGCCUGAGCGGGUGACCGGCGGCCUUGGAACUGAGGGACGGCACAGACUGGUACGGGGGGCAGCAGUGGGGAAUCUUGCCCAAGGAGCGGAAGCCUGAUGCAGCAGCGCCGCGUGCGGGAUGACGGCCUUCGGAGUGAAGACCGCUUUCGCCUGUAACGGAGCGUGAGUGACGGUAACGGAUAAAGAAGCCCCGGCUAACUACGUG